GAGGGGGAGAGGUUGCUAAGUGCUCUCUGAAAUCUCGGUGAACGAGUGAACUGUGUGCAGCACCGUCCACCUGCCUGCAGGAGGAGGACACCCACCAGGUGGGAGCACUGCUCCCUCCACCUUCCUCGUUCCCGCCCUUCCCGGCCCGUGCCCAGCCGCCCUGGUGCACGUCCAGCCUGAGGGGCAGAGGAAGUGCGGUCAGUUCAACCUGAAAAGAGGGUCGAUAUCAUUAACAAACAGGAAACUGGAAACCAAGACAGCGCUAAGAUAGAUACUAGCAUGACGGUGCAAGUGAAGGACAGGAACUCAGAGUACUGGUGGGAACAUAAAUACGAGAAAUUGCUUUCAAAGGAACUUGCAGUAACAGAAGCUGAAUCUACCCGGGACCCGGGGAUUCCACACCCAGGUGUGUGCCCGACACCGACAGAAGCUGUGUGCUCGUCUGCCAGGGACGUGAACAGACCGUGAGUAACAGGGAAAGACGGUGAGUCACCCACAUGCUCGAGACCUGAGAAUGAAGUACAGACCUUCACUCAGUGGAGAAGGAGGCUUAGAAACAGAGCAGCUACAGCCACACGCCACCAGAGGUGACAGUAACCCAGGCAGCAAGUCCCAGGGCCUCCACACCCAUGUGACCUUGGCAGGCUCGUCCGUGGGUCCAAAGGCACAGCAAGUCCAGCAGCUCCACAGGGCUGCAGCCUCCUGACCUUUUCAGGACCACGAUGGAGGCCGCCCUGAGGCACCAAUCUAAACCAAGGCAGCCGGCAUGUGCAGGUGACACCCAAUACCAGCCACCACCCUCCCCUCUGGCUUUGGCGGACUCACCUCAACCUGGAAAUCAGGGCCUGCCGCCUGACCAGGAGCCCUGACCUCCUGGCCAAUCCUGCCCAUCUCCGCGGAGCCCCUUGAACAGUCUGUAAACUCUCCCCCCAGAAGGGAGCGGCCUGCUGGGGAUGCCCUGGUUCUCAUCUGUGGACUGUUUCCCUUGAAUAAAGGACAGCAAACUUGGGACUAA